GGGGAGCCCCCCCCACGGUGGGCACCGAGUAUGCUGGGAGGCCGUGUGGCAGGGCCAAGUCCAAGACGUGCUGAUUCACUAACGAGCGGGCCCGGUGGCCCUAAUCCACCAGCUUCUUGCUCAGAGGCGGCCUGGGGCUGAGGGCACUGAUGGCCAGCCUGGUAAUUCCUGCAAAGCCACCAGCGGCCCGCUCCCCGGCCACCACACGCUGUCCAGAUGGACAGGUCUAUUUUUAGGCCUGGAGCGCAUGCCAGGGCGGGAAGACGCUUCCCGCUGGAGCGGCCGCCAGGGCCUGGGGCCGUCCCUGCUUCCGCAGCAGGUGGAGACGCACCUGUCGGGCUUCCCGCGGCCUCUGCGGUCUGGAGAGUGGGUCUCAGGACUGCAGCCGCAGAGCUGGGGACCAGCUGCGGCCAGAUGGGGAGGGGCCCAGCCAGGGAGUCUUCACGGAAAGCAGGGGAUCUUCCUGACCCAGGGAUCAGAUCUGUAUCUCCUGAGUCUCCUGCACUGCAGAUGGAUUCUUCACCUGCUGAGCCACUGGGAAAGCCCCAUAAAGACACUUGCAAUGUACAAGCGUGCAUUGCAAAUGAUGAUUAUUCAGCACUUUUCAAGAUCUAGAAAAGCUCUAAAAUCCUUCACGGUGACGACUGCUCCUCGUGACUCACAGAAGCAUCCCAAGACUGGCUGAAACCUGCAAAAAUGCUCCCCGGUCUGGAGGGGGUCUUAUCCUUCUGCUGCUGUUUCCAUCGGCACUAAACACGGAGGUCAGAGUCCACUGGAGACGUGGCCGAGCACGGUCAGCAUGAACAGGCCUAGGAUGCAGUCCAGGCCCUGUGAAUUCCUUCUUCAAAUACAUAAACCAAAAGGAAGAACCCUCGCGCCCACAGCCCACGGGCAGUAAUAUGUGAUGUCACCCGAGGGGGACAGAGUGCGCGGGUGGCGCUGAACGCACCAGCUGCAAGCGCCUCCUUUGGUUGUGAAGGGGACGCACGCACAUUCCAGAAGGCCGGACGCCACAGGAACGAGCCAAGCGGGAGCCCGGCGCUGCCCUGGAGCACCGGCUUAGCCCCGUGAGCAGAUGCGCCUCUCUGGGGUCGUCUCGGGGGCUCUGCUCCAGGUGAGCCCCUCGGCCAGAUAAGUGUGAACGUAUCCACCGUCCAGGACGGGGGAAGACGAGGGGGAGCUGGGAGUCAGGAGCCCCCAGUCAUGGCCUUCCAUUCUCUGUAAGUGGAAAUAAAUGCAUGCUUCAGCAAGAGGCUCCGUGGGGCAGGGCUGGUCCUUCCCAGCUCACAGCCUCUGCAAGAGCUGGGCCCUGGGCACAGCCUUACCUUGGAGGGGACCGUGGGCUUCUGCGGUGCUUCUGCCGCCAGGGUCUCAACCACGGGAAGGGUCCUGCCAGAGCUGAGACAGACAGGCUGGCCCUGAGCCCUGGGAUCCAAAGGCAGAGGGUGGGGGUGAGGGCGGGGGGUGAGGUGCGGAAACACACCCAUAGAACUGGGCCAGGCGGGGGGCGGGAGAGGGCGCUGAGUAGCCCGGCUCUGGCUGCAGAGUCUGGGGGCGCAGAGAACAUGCUGUUUCAUUUCUCAUUUGGCUGAAGCCUGUCUCCAGGGCUGCUUGGACGGCGUUAUGAACCUUAUCACAGUCCUUAUCACUGCCCUUCCUAUACUGACAAGUGAAAUGCGUGUGGUUCUACCAAUAAUGGAGGCGUUGUUUCCUACCGUAGGGUUAGUGUAAUAGCCGUGCUUGCGUGUUUGAUGGGCGUGCUGGCAUGCGCGGUCACUUCAGUCCUGUCUGAGUCUCUGCGAGCCCACAGACUGCAGCCCGCCAGGCUCCUCUGUCCACGGGACUCUCCAGACAAGAACACUGGAGUGGGUUGCCAUGCCCUCCUCCAGGGAUCUUCCCGACCCAGGGAUCAAACCGCGUCUCCUACGUCUUCUGCCCCGGCAGGCAGGGUCUUUACCGCUAGCGCCACCUGUCUGAUGGGCAGCGGCUUGGCAUCUGCAGAGUGUUGAGGCAAAGUGGGCUGGGAGUUGUGUUACUGCUGCGCGGCACAGCGUCCUCUCCCGGGGACAUGGCAGGUAUCCUCCACCAGCAAAGCGCCUGGACACCGCCUCCUGCUUCGCUGCGGACAGUGGGUUUGGUGCUUCAGAUGCCGAACGCUUUGUCCCGGUCCUGCCCCUGGACUGACCGCCGGCCCUGGAAAGGUCCCUGGGUCUGCUCUUCACACGCAGGGUCUUCCUGGCUGAGUGUGCUUGUCCCCUUUCCCGCUGGCCCGCCCUCCACACCGAGGUUUUCCGCUGAAGCCUCCUGACUCGCUUCUGCUGCCUGUCUCUGAGCGCGGCUCUCUGGAAGGCGUCUCCCACUCCGGGUGGGGCUGGGCCUCCCACAUCCUGCUGUGACUCUCAGUUUUCUUCUCUCAUCUGCAGAAUGACGCUCGUCUCCUGUUUUACACUCUUUCCCUGAGGUCCCCUGAGACCCUCACCCUGCUAGGGGCUGGCCAGACCACCGAUGGCCCACCCCAAGGUGAGGGGGCCACAGAGCCUCCUCCUCCUUGGUAUGGACCCCCCGCUCCACCUCCUUCCCACCACAUGGCGCUGGGCUGUGACCGUCGCUUCCCCUGUCACCCCAACCCUGGUCCCCAGCACCUGCCCAGCCUGUGGCUCCGUCAGAUCCAGGCCCGUCAGCUGAGCCUUCGCCGGGGCCCCGGCGGGCUUGGCGCUGCCUCUGCAGGGUGACCUGAAGCUCUUGAUGGUACUGAGCCCUGAUCUCUUCCUGCCAGCCAUCAAGAGCCUCCCACCCGACUGUGUCAGCCUCAGAGCAGGUGGGUGCUAGGCACCUCUGCGGAGACCAAGGCUCAUCCACCUCAGGAUCCUGCCUUGGUCGGGGGGCCGGGCCUGUGCCAGGAGCAGGCUGGGCACAGAGCAGGGAUGCCCACUGCUCGACAUCUACUCUGCCCACCUCUUUAUGUUAAAAUAAAACUCAGAUACAGAAAACCACACCAGGAAGAUACGUGGGUGAGUGAGAGUCAACUGGGCAUCCUUAGAACAAUCACCCCAGUCAAGGUAGGACUCAGCUGGCUACCCCCCAGGCCCAGGAAAUGCCCCGCACCCGCAGGACCCCUGCCCCCCAGGACCCCCCCCCACCCAGGACACACAGAGUGAGGCAUUCCGAGCACCGACCCUGGAACCUCGUGACGGGCUUGUGGUGUUUCCAGGACUUUGGGAACAGGGUGGUGGUUUGAUUCAAGGGAGGCGCUAAGGAGACCCACUCCUGGGGACCCGUGGACCUGGAGACCGAGGGAGGGGACGCCUUUAUGGCACCCUCAAUUGGUGCUUCUUCAGGAAGGCCAUGCAGACCCCCAGCCAGGCCACCUCCCCUCACCCCUUGGAGAGUCCCCUGCAUUACAGACAGGCCCUGUGGGGACACUCCCUA
ensembl:lincRNA